GCUUGAUGGUCAGAUUCCUUGUUUCUUGAACCUGCUGAUAGUGUUCAUUCCCACAAAGGGAAUCUGAGGUU